rnacentral:lncRNA from 1 species
CUGUUGCUGCGGUGUGGGAACCCCAGCAGCACCUCGGGAAGGUUCCCGGCAGCCACACUGGGAAAGCAGCACCCCACCUGCCUGCAGAGCCAAAAUAACCAAGCCCCUGCGUUCCCUGAGCUUUUUGGGAUCUAAACAGCAGCGGUAUUUGUUGUGGCACAGCUCAGGGCUGAAGCUACCAGGAUUGCUUCCAGGAUGUGCCCCGAGAACGCGAGCGGUGCUGUGUGGGAGCCUCUCCCAGCUCCUCUCCUGCCCCAAAAUACAAGUGCUCAGUUCCCUGCCUGCCCUGAAAAAAACAGCAGAACCGCUGCUGCUCCCCACCCUGCGCCUCUGCUCCCAGCUGGAGCAGAUUUCUGCCCCUGUGGGAGAGGCUGGUGUGGCCCCAAAGGGCCCCCCGAGGCUGUCCUCACCUCCCCAGGGAUGGAUUUCAGGGGGUGCAGGUUGUGCCCCGAGCAGGGGCUGGGCCGUAGCUCUUGCCCCAGGUUAUGGGGCUGGAUUUGGGUUCUGGGGUUGGAUUUGGGUUCCUGGAGCUGCCACUCGCAUCCCUGCUCUGGGAGCACCUCCAAAAGCAGGGGUCUUUACCCCUCCAGCCAGAAGGGGGGCAAGGGGGAAGGUGGCAGGGCAAAUUUUGGGUGUUACCAUCGCACCUCGCCUGCGAGCAAACUUUACAAGCCCCCAACGAAGGAAGCCAAGCCAGAGGGGAUGUGGACAUGGUCAAGGAGUGACCCUGCUCCAUCCUCCUCCUCAUCCCAGCACAGAGCUGCCCAGCUGAGCACGCAGCCCAGCCCCUGGUGCUGUGAGCCUUCACAUGGGGGGAGCAGAGGGCUCCCCAAAACCACUGAGGUCACUGAGAUGGGCUCGGUCCCCUCUUCCCCCAAAGCAGUGUGUCAUCUCCCUCCUUCUGCCCAGGAGAGGAGAGGACUAUCACCCCCAGCUUUGCAGCACCACCAUCCAGCCCCCUUCCCUUGCCCCCUGCCUGCAGCCCCAUCGACGGGGGGGCAUCGUUUUGGGGAGCCAGGGGAAGGGGGGGGGGGACACACACGGCCAGGGGCUCCCCAACCAGCUGAGAAAGGGCCAAGGCAGGGAAGCAGCAGCUCUGCCAAGUGUGGGCUUGUUGCCUGCAGAAAAAUAUUGUGACAGGGAUCCUGCACCGCCUGGCGAAGCAGCAGCCCGCACCCCCGCCCCAAACCAACCUCCCCCCCCACGACCAGCCAAAAAGGUGCAGGAGCAAGUG